rnacentral:lncRNA from 1 species
GAUACUUGAUCAAUUGCGCAUCAUUUAAUGCGAGCAAUUUAAUUGAUAUAAGAUGGCUUUUUUAACGGUUGGUGUCAUGAUACAUGUUUGGACAACCAAAAAAUGCAUAAUAAACUCAUCAUAAAAUUAUUUAUUAUCUCCAUCUUAUUCGUUGAGAUGUUCGGCACAUUAUCCUCUUUCAUGGAAGUAUAGAAGAAGAGGAGGGGAUUGCCUCCGAAGAAGGUGGUGGAAGCGAGCACUUAUCAUCGCACUCCUGCAUCGACUUGUAGCAUUGCCAAUUUCCAACACAGCAGUAGCAUCUAUCUUUAUCUGGGUGGCAGAUUGGGAUACUGUGACUCUUUAUGCACCAAGUUUCAGGGUCAUUGUCUUUGAGGAUUCUGCCACUGCCUAUAAAAUUAUAGACACGAGUGUAACAUUAGUAUUCAAAUGAGAAGAAGUAAAUGAUAUAAUCAACAUGAAAAUAUGAUAUGUUAAGUGGUGGAAUUUUACAUUGCCCAUGGGUAGCGAAACCUGUGAGAAGAAGAAAUAGAAAUAGUGCAUGGAUGCUCUUCGUGCACUCUGCCAUAUUGUGAGCGAACGAACACGAUUGGAAUAGGCUAGCUAUUUGAUCUGGAAACGGUAGCUUGUGUCUUGGGA